rnacentral:rRNA from 1 species
UACGAAGGGGGCUAGCGUUGCUCGGAAUUACUGGGCGUAAAGAGCUCGUAGGCGGUUCGUCGCGUCGGCUGUGAAAAACCUGAGGCUCAACCUCAGGCCUGCAGUCGAUACGGGCGGACUUGAGUACUGCAGGGGAGACUGGAAUUCCUGGUGUAGCGGUGAAAUGCGCAGAUAUCAGGAGGAACACCGGUGGCGAAGGCGGGUCUCUGGGCAGUAACUGACGCUGAGGAGCGAAAAGCGUGGGGAGCGAACAGG